CCUACGCGGGGCAGCAGUGGGGAAUAGUGGGCAAUGGGCGCAAGCCUGACCCAGCAACGCCGCGUGAAGGAAGAAGGCUUUCGGGUUGUAAACUUCUUUUCUCAGGGACGAAGCAAGUGACGGUACCUGAGGAAUAAGCCACGGCUAACUACGUGCCAGCAGCCGCGGGAAUACGUAGGUGGCAAGCGUUAUCCGGCUUUACGGGGUGUAAAGGGCGUGUAGGCGGGACUGCAAGUCAGAUGUGAAAACCACGGGCUCAACCUGUGGCCUGAAUUUGAAACUGUAGUUCUUGAGGACUGGAGAGGCAGACGGAAUUCCUAGGGUAGCGGUGAAAUGCGUAGAUAUUAGGAGGAACACGAGUGGCGAAGGCGGUCUGCUGGACAGCAACUGACGCUGAGGCGCGAAAGCGUGGGGAGCAAACAGGAUUAGAUACCCCUGUAGUC
rnacentral:rRNA from 1 species